AUAAUACUAUAUGCAAUAGUUCAAUUAUAUUUGGUGUAUGGAAAUAUUUUAUGAUCUAUAUGUCAGUCACGCAGGUUUUAUUUGACCUUGACCUCAUUUUCAAGGUUCAUUGGUCAGUGUUAAGUUUUUGUCGAGCCUGCGACUUUUGUCGCAGAAAGCUCGACAUGGGGAUAGUGAUCCGGCGGCGGCGGCAUUAGCUUACUUCUUAAAAGCUUUAUAUUUUAGAAGGUGGAAGGUCUGGAUGCUUCAUACUUUGUAUAUGGAUGCCUCAUGUUAUGAAGUUUCCGCCAGUCACAUGUCCAAUGUCCUUGACCUCAUUUUCAUGGUUCAGUGACUACUUGAAAAAAAAGUUAAGAUUUUUUGUAAUGUUAAAUUCUCUCUUAUCAUAAGUAAUAGGAUAACUAUAUUUGGUAUGUGCGUACCUUGCAAGGUCCUCAUGCUCGUCAGACAGUUUUCACUUGACCUCGACCUCAUUUCAUGGACCAGUGAACAAGGUUAAGUUUUGGUGGUCAAGUCCAUAUCUCAGAUACUAUAAGCAAUAGGUCUAGUAUAUUCGGUGUUUGGAAGGACUGUAAGGUGUACAUGUCCAACUGACAGGUGUCAUCUGACCUUGACCUCAUCUUCAUGGUUCAGUGGUUAUAGUUAAGUUUUUGUGUUUUGGUCUGUUUUUCUUAUACUGUAUGCAAUAGGUCUUCUAUAUUUGGUGUAUGGAAUGAUUGUAAGGUGUACAUGUCUAGCGGGCAGGUGUCAUCUGACCUUAACAUCAUUUUCAUGGUUCAGUGGUUAUAGUUAAGUUUUUGUGUUUUGGUCUGUUUUUCUUAUACUGUAUGCAAUAGGUCUUCUAUAUUUGGUGUAUGGAAUGAUUGUAAGUUGUACAUGUCUAGCGGGCAGGUAUCAUCUGACCUUGACCUCAUUUUCAUGGUUCAGUGGUCAAAGUUAAGAUUUUGAGUUUUGGUCUUUUUUUCUAAUACUAUAUGCAAUAGUUCAAAUAUAUUUGGUGUAUGGAAAUAUUUUAUGAUCUAUUUGUCAGUCACGCAAGUUUUAUUUGACCUUGACCUCAUUUUCAAGGUUCAUUGCUCAGUGUUAAGUUUUUGUGUUUUGGUCUGUUUUUCUUAAACUAUAAGCAAUAGGUCAACUGUAUUUGUUGUAUGGAAGAAUUGUCAGCUGUACAUGCCUGCCUAGCAUGGUUCAUCUGACCUUGACCUCAUUUUCAUGGUUCAUUGGUCAAUAUUUAGUUUACUUGGUUAAUGUUAAAUUUAUGUGACAGUUGUAAUAAAGCUUUAUAUUUAGGACUAUCAACAUAAUAUCAAUGAUUAGUAAAGAAGGCGAGACAUUUCAGUGUGUGCACUCUUGUUGUGUUUUGGUCUGUUUUUCUUCA